rnacentral:rRNA from 1 species
GCUAAAAAUCUAGCUACUUAACCAACACUCUUCAUACCCCCAAUUAAAAUAUUCCACCAACAUAGUAAAGAAGAUUAAAAAAUUCCCAAUAGCUAUAAACACGUACCGCAAGGGAAAGAUGAAAUAUCAAUGAAAUAACUUAAAGCCUAAAAAAGUAGAGACUCCCCCUCGUACCUUUUGCAUCAUGGUUUAGCAAGUCCAACUAGGCAAAACCCCCUUUAGUCUAGCCCCCCGAAACUAAGUGAGCUACUUUAAAGUCGCUUACUGAGCUAACCCAACUGUGUUGCAAAACAGUGGGGUAACUUUAAAAUAGAGGUGAAACACCUAACGAACUUAGUCAUAGCUGGUUUCUCAAGAGAGGAGUCUUAGUUCCGCCUAAAAGGAUAAAAAUACAUUUAAAUAAAACCCUUUCCCCUUUAGAGUUACUCAAAUAAGGUACAGCCUAUUUGACACAGGAUCCAACCUUUACCUCAGGGUAAAUUUUUUCCCCCAUUACCCAAGUAGGCCUAACAGCAGCCACCUUUAAAAAAGCGUCAAAGCUUAGCACUUAAAAUAAUUUAACUAACCCAAUUAACCCCUACAGAUAUAUUGAGAAAUUCUAUAACCCUAUAGAAGCUAUUAUGCUAAAACUAGUAACAAGAGGAUCAACCUCUCUUUAAUGCAAGCAUAAGUCAGAAAGGACCUACCACUGACAUUUACCAAAGAAGUAGAAACUCCACUAGAAAACCCUACUUAAUCAAAUGUUAACCUAACACAAGAGCAUUACCAGAAAGAUUAUAAGAAAAAGAAGGAACUCGGCAAAUAUAAGUUCCGCCUGUUUACCAAAAACAUCGCCUCCUGCACCCAUAAGAGGUCCAGCCUGCCCAGUGACCCAGUUCAACGGCCGCGGUAUCCUAACCGUGCAAAGGUAGCGUAAUCACUUGUUUUCUAAAUAAAGACUAGUAUGAAAGGCACCACGAGAUCCAAGCUGUCUCCCUUUUCUAAUCAGUGAACCUAAUCUCCCCGUGAAAAAGCGGGAAUUACCCAAUAAGACGAGAAGACCCUAUGGAGCUUUAAACACUAUUACACCUGCGAAAUUAACACCCAAAUGUUUUGUGUGCACCAUGAUUAUACGUUUUCAGUUGGGGUGACUGCGGAGAAAACCCAAUCCUCCAUGAUGAACGGCCUUACGCCUAAACAAUAAGUCACAACUUUAAGUAUCAAUAAAUUGACUCCAUUGACCCAAUACAUUGAUUAACGAACCAAGUUACCCUAGGGAUAACAGCGCAAUCCACUUCAAGAGCCCCUAUCGACAAGUGGGCUUACGACCUCGAUGUUGGAUCAGGGUAUCCUAGUGGUGCAGCCGCUACUAAAGGUUCGUUUGUUCAACGAUUAAAACCCCACGUGAUCUGAGU